UUCCCCCUCCCCCCUCUCGCCACUCUCUCUCUCUCUCUCUCUCUCUCUCUCUCCAGCCCCGAUCCUCUCUCUGCCACUCUCCCUCUCCACCCCCAAUCCUCUCUCACUGCUCCCCAUCCUCUCUCUUAGAACAUAGGAAAAAUCUGAGCAAAAACAAUGCGGGGCUUCGGAUCGGGAGUUUUAGAAAUCGAAACCCUAGGGUUUGAAAACAAAACCAAAAAAAUUGAGAAAAAAGGCUCACCGAGAGAAUCAAGGAGCUGAAGUACUGGAUUGGAGAGGGAGAUUUAUAAGGUCAGGAAGAGAUGAUCUGCAUUCAUAUGCGAUCGUAUGUAUGGAUUGGGAUAUGACACUGGGAAGGUUUUUUGAAGAUGAACCUCUCUCUCUCUCUCUCUGUAAGAUAUAUUCAAUUUCAAGCAAGAAAUUGCAUUUUCUUCAUCUCUGAAACUCGCACUCUCAAAGCUUCCUGCAAAUGAUACACGCAUUGUCAAGCCACAUCCAGUUUAGAUGGCCGCACCUGCUCAGCGCAACAAUUCGGAAACUGUGACUUUUGAGCUAUAGGCAUGCUUCAUGGCGGGACAAUAGAUGAAUGGUUGGAAGAUCCUGCUAAAAUCACUCAUGUAGCGGCCCCGUGGUGGAUGAUUCUGUCCGGCUUUUUGGGACUAUUCUGAGAAAAAGUUGCUUGGAAGGCAGAAUGCUCUGUUAUAAGCGAAUGGUCUCCCGAUGCAUGCUACUUCAUGACUGCAACAACAGUUUGUCAAUGUUCAUUUUUGUAAGAGUACAGUCUCUUCUAGACCUUGCUUUGCGGACCACAGCUGCAGCAGCAGAUCCUUGUCACGAGGAACUGACAUGUUGUGUGGAAAGAUCUUCUUUGCUUAAUAGAUUGGGGACUCUCAGUGAUUUGGAAUAUGGGAUGAAAAAUUUACUUUCUACUCCUGAAGUUCAGAAGCCUGUUUCUGAUGGUAAUGAUCAGACAGAGCCAGUAAGUGUCCCUGGCCUAGAAACGUUCUCUCUGAGUUACAAGGUGUAAUGGUCGUUAUCCCUUGUGAUUUCAAGAAAAGCCUUGACAAAGUAUCAGUUGAUUUUUCGAUUCCUGUUUCAUUGUAAACACGUCAACCGCCAACUUUGUGGAGCAUGGCAAGUCCAUCAAGGGGUUCAUGCUUUUAACAAAUUGGGAACAGCCAUCUCCUGCUCUUCAGUGCUUUGCCGCAGCAUGCUUAAAUUUAUUAAUAGCCUUUUACAUUAUUUAACAUUUGAGGUUCUUGAACCCAAUUGGCAUGUGAUGCACAAUAGACUUCUAACUGCAAAGAGCAUAGAUGAGGAGCAUGAGAAGGAAGAAGCCCAGGUGGAGGAGGUGACAGGACAGAUGGAGGGCAGGGCAGGCAAGCCUCUCGCUAAGGCUUCUUGACAAGUUGGAAAGAACCCAAGAAAAAACAACACCAAGAAAGCCAAUGAAGCAGAUACUGUUGUUGAAUCUGUUGCAUCAGUUAGUAC